UACGGAGGGUGCAAGCGUUAAUCGGAAUUACUGGGCGUAAAGCGCACGUAGGUGGUUUGCUAAGCCAGCUGUGAAAUCCCCGGGCUCAACCUGGGCACUGCAGUUGGAACUGGCAAGCUAGAGUAGGGUAGAGGGGUGUGGAAUUCCAGGUGUAGCGGUGAAAUGCGUAGAUAUCUGGAGGAACAUCAGUGGCGAAGGCGACACCCUGGACUCAUACUGACACUGAGGUGUGAAAGCGUGGGGAGCAAACAGG
rnacentral:rRNA from 1 species